CUUCAUUGUCAAGAAGCACCACGACAUCAGUGUGUUCAAUUAGGGAAUGUGUGGAGAACACACUAUUAUAAGGCUCGACGACAGCAGUUGAAAUCUGCAGCACGAAAUGGUUUCAGUACAGCGUACCUGUACUUUACAAUGACAGGAAAUGGAUCAAGGUGAGGCACGGCAUAUCACACCUGUGUAAUGUCCACGGGCAAAGUUGUUCGUAGCGUCUUCCUUGUGGGAGAUGAGCUGCUCCGGAUGGAAGAGCUGGCGAUAUGUCCCAGUCUUCACCUCGUCGAUAACCGUGGGCUCCAAGUCAACGAACAAGGCUCUCGGAACAUGCUUCCCUGCACUUGUUUCACUGAAGAACGUGUUGAAUGCAUCCCUUGCAACCCCAACCGAGGUGUCACUGCAAGGCAACGGGCAAAAAACAGAGAAAUUUAAUACUGCAAAAAUAGGGGUGUCAUCAACUCAUAAAGAAAAGUUUCAGAGCAUCCGACAAGGUUUCUCAAGCUUUUGCUUUAGGCUUUCAUCCAGUAAAGAUCGUCCACAGGAUUAUCUCCGAAAAUUCCCUUUUGUGGCUACUACUACAAGAAUCCAGAAGCCGCGUUAUCUCAGAUAAAUUAUCUGUGCUGGAAUCAUUACAGAGUGACAAAAAUUCGACAGAAUUCUCAAAGAAGGGUGAGAUGAACAAAGAGUCAGAAGUGCAAGAAUUGGCUUAGCAGAGGGCCUCACCUGGGCAUGAGGCCAUCAGGCUGGAUACCAUGCUCGACAGCUCGAGGCAGUAGAGCUCCCAGCACGAAUUCCCCACCUGGAUGCCUGCCUGCCCGAUAUGGAUGCUGAUGAUCUUCCUCAUCUCUCCGUCUUUCCCUCUCUCUGUUCUUCAAUUCUGCGGCCCUGGGAGAGCAGGAGCAGACACUUGCACGGGGAAGAAACCUGCGAACCAAAAAGGCUUGCACCACUGCACACGGGGAAAGGGCUUGCCCCUGAGCAGACGGGAGAAAAGGAGGACAAGGCAGCGCAGCUGCGUCAACCGGAACGUUCUUCAGAAAGCAGAAAGCUGCCGAUGGAGUGUGCGACGGUUCGCACAGGUCGGACGGAAAGCGACCCCUAUGGACAAAAAAUUCUUGGUGGAUUGUCUAGCAACAACGAUUACUCCUAGAUGGGGGUGCCUAUGGGACUGUAGAUGAUGAUGAUGGUGAUGAUGAUCUACUCCAAUCUGUCUGUCUGCUAUCUUUAGGCUAAUGACUGGGGAGUGGUGGAGUUGAAGGCAAAUUCAUUUCAAGAUGGAGGCUUGGUCUGAAUUUUCUCUGGUUCCUGCAGGAAUAGACACAUGCCGCUGUCGAAACCUACGCUCUGAAUAGUUAAUAUUCUUUUUCAUUGGGGGACUCGUGUAAAACCUAAUAAAAUAAUCCUUCGUCUUCUGA